CAUUAUCGUACUACAGAGGUGCGAGGGCUGUCGCUGACCUUUUUUCAAAGGUCGUGCACGCCCGAGCGCUCUCGCCUACAAUCCACCUCACCACUUGUGCAUCACCGCGCGGGGCCUCCCUCUUGGCUCGCUUCGAGAGAGGCUCGCGUUCUUCACAUCACACACACACCUUUUUAGUUUUGAAUGUCAUUCAUUUGCGAUAACACGCAAUCAAUACAACUUUCAACAACGGAUCUCUUGGCUCUCGCAUCGAUGAAGAACGCAGCGAAAUGCGAUACGUAAUGUGAAUUGCAGAAUUCAGUGAAUCAUCGAAUCUUUGAACGCACCUUGCGCCCCUUGGCAUUCCGAGGGGCACACCCGUUUGAGUGUCGUGAAAUUCUCAAACCUUCUUGGUUUCUUGACCAAGAUGGCUUUGGACUUUGGAGGCGUUGUGCUGGCUUUGCAAAAAGUCGGCUCCUCUUAAAUGCAUUAGUGGGGUCCCCUUUGCCAAUCCCCAGGCGUGAUAAGAUGUUUCUACGUCUUGGGAUUUGCUCUGUUCACUGGGAACCUGCUUCCAACCGUCUCGUGAGAGACAUCGUUCGAGCUUGCUCGGCACACGAAUCUUGACCUCAAAUCGGGUGAGACUACCCGCUGAACUUAAGCAUAUCAAUAAGCGGAGGAAAAGAAACUAACAAGGAUUCCCCUAGUAACUGCGAGUGAAGCGGGAAAAGCUCAAAUUUAAAAUCUGGUGGCCUCUGGUCACCCGAGUUGUAAUUUAGAGAAGCGUCUUCCGCGCUGGACCGUGCACAAGUCUCCUGGAAUGGAGCGUCAUAGAGGGUGAGAAUCCCGUCUUUGGCACGGACGCACCAGGGCUUUUGUGAUGCGCUCUCGAAGAGUCGAGUUGUUUGGGAAUGCAGCUCAAAAUGGGUGGUGAACUCCAUCUAAAGCUAAAUAUUGGNGAGAGACCGAUAGCGAACAAGUACCGUGAGGGAAAGA
rnacentral:rRNA from 1 species